rnacentral:rRNA from 1 species
GACAGAGGUGCCGAGCGUUAGGCGGAAUCACUGGGCUUAAAGCGUGUGUAGGCGGGCGGGCAAGUACCUUGUGAAAUCCCACGGCUCAACCGUGGAACGGCUGGGUAUACUGCCUGUCUUGAGCCAACUAGGGGCGAGCGGAACAGACGGUGGAGCGGUGAAAUGCGUAGAUAUCGUAUGGAACGCCGAAGGUGAAAACAGCUCGCUGGGGUUGUGCUGACGCUGAGACACGAAAGCCAGGGGAGCGAACGGG